rnacentral:rRNA from 1 species
GGCGGCGUGCCUAAUACAUGCAAGUCGAACGGAAGUAGUAAUACUUUAGUGGCGACCGGGUGCGUAACACGUAGCUAACCUGCCCCUCAGCGGGGGACAACUGUUGGAAACGACAGCUAAUACCGCAUGAUAUUGGAGAGACUAAAUAUCUCCACUUAAACUUACGGGGCUGAGGGAGGGGGCUGCGGCCCAUCAGGUAGUUGGUGAGGUAAAAGCUCACCAAGCCGACGACGGGUAGGGGGCCUGAGAGGGUGGUCCCCCACACUGGGACUGACAACGGCCCAAACUCCUACGGGAGGCAGCAGUAAGGGAUAUUGCGCAAUGGGCGAAAGCCUGACGCAGCAACGCCGCGUGGAGGAUGAAAGCCUUCGGGUCGUAAACUUCUUUUANCACGGACCAGGAAGGACGGUACCUGCGGAAUCAGUCACGGCUAACUACGUGCCAGCAGCCGCGGUAAAACGUACGUGGCAAGCGUUAUCCGGAAUUACUGGGCGUAAAGGGUGUGC